rnacentral:sRNA from 1 species
GUAGUUUUCGAAUAGACGCCCUUGCUUGUACUCUUUCAAUAACUUCGCAGCGCUUUUCUUUGAUUUUUUUUUUCAUCUUUACCCUCCCAUUUAUCAAAUCGUGUGUUAUAGUAGUUAUUAGAGUUUUACUGCUUAUUAGGCAUAUGAGACUCACAUGAAACUUGGAGGUUUUUAUUGAUGACAAAAGGUACAGUUAAAUGGUUCAACGCUGACAAAGGUUUCGGUUUUAUUUCUGUUGAAGGUGGAGACGAUGUAUUCGUUCACUUCUCCGCAAUCACAGGAGACGGUUUCAAGUCCUUAGAUGAGGGUCAGCGAGUUGAAUUCAACAUUACUCAAGGUCAACGUGGCGCACAAGCUGAGAAUGUUGUAAGACUGUAAUCUUAUUAUAGAGACUAGCAACUGCUCUUAUGAGUGGUUGCUUUUU